GACGGAAGGUGCAAGCGUUGCUCGGAAUCACUGGGCGUAAAGCGCACGUAGGCGGAUUGUUAAGUCAGGGGUGAAAGCCUGGAGCUCAACUCCAGAACUGCCCUUGAUACUGGCAAUCUCGAGUCCGGAAGAGGUAAGUGGAACUCCGAGUGUAGAGGUGAAAUUCGUAGAUAUUCGGAAGAACACCAGUGGCGAAGGCGGCUUACUGGUCCGGUACUGACGCUGAGGUGCGAAAGCGUGGGGAGCAAACAGG
rnacentral:rRNA from 1 species